AUGCUGAGAUUUUAGAGAAGAAACACUCUCCCAAAGUUUAUUCAAGUGCCCACUUCUUCUACUUCAUCUUUAAAACCUUCGAUUCUUCAUAUAUUCCGAUAUAUACAAGGUUUUAAACCCCGAAGCUUCGUUCCACCCAACCAAGCUCCGCUCAUCUUAGCAUUUUCAUAAACCACUCUUUUCAACCUCCCAAAGGGCUGCUCAAAUUCGUUCGUGUGCUUAAAGUCGUAUCGAACCUCCGACGAAUUUCUCCGGCGAACUUUCGUGGAAUAAUCGUGUAAGUGGUUACUUUUAGCUUCAAUUAUCCGAGUCUUAAUCGACCAUUUUCAAAGGGCUUUUUAAACAAAUUUCUCUUCAUCUUAAGAUCUCUUGAUUUCAAAAUACUCGAGUUGGCCACUCGUUAUUAUCGGGAAUUUGUGCACUAACUUUAUUUGCUCACUAACUCAUAUUUGUGCUCCCAUUCCCAUCACUCCCAUACCCUUCUUGUUUUAGUGAGAAACCCAUUUUUCAGCCCUGUGCUCGGUGGGGAUAUCAUUAAGAUAAGAUACGUGGUAUUACGUGUUUAUUUUCCGAACGUGUGUGACGUGAGUGAUUUUACUUGUUUCGGUGGUAAACCCCGUUUGGGCCUUUUCGCUAUCGCGGGGUGUUAUCCGAACAAGCUACUUGGUUCAAAAUCCUUUAGUGUGAGUGUGCGAUAUAUCUUGCUCGACUUCGACUCCGUCUUUUCAAAACUCACUCAUCACUCGAUCUUAUUAAAAUCAACAACUUAUAUUUCUCCGCGCGAUAUAAUUUGUUAAAAUUGAACCAACGACUUAACCACCA
rnacentral:lncRNA from 1 species